rnacentral:rRNA from 1 species
CCUACGGGUGGCUGCAGUGGGGAAUAUUGGACAAUGGGCGAAAGCCUGAUCCAGCCAUGCCGCGUGUGUGAAGAAGGUCUUCGGAUUGUAAAGCACUUUAAGUUGGGAGGAAGGGUUGUAGAUUAAUACUCUGCAAUUUUGACGUUACCGACAGAAUAAGCACCGGCUAACUCUGUGCCAGCAGCCGCGGUAAUACAGAGGGUGCAAGCGUUAAUCGGAAUUACUGGGCGUAAAGCGCGCGUAGGUGGUUUGUUAAGUUGGAUGUGAAAUCCCCGGGCUCAACCUGGGAACUGCAUUCAAAACUGACUGACUAGAGUAUGGUAGAGGGUGGUGGAAUUUCCUGUGUAGCGGUGAAAUGCGUAGAUAUAGGAAGGAACACCAGUGGCGAAGGCGACCACCUGGACUAAUACUGACACUGAGGUGCGAAAGCGUGGGGAGCAAACAGGAUUAGAUACCCUUGUAGUC